GACGAACGCUGGCGGCGUGCUUAACACAUGCAAGUCGAACGGAAAGGCCCUGCUUUUGUGGGGUGCUCGAGUGGCGAACGGGUGAGUAACACGUGAGUAACCUGCCCUUGACUUUGGGAUAACUUCAGGAAACUGGGGCUAAUACCGGAUAGGAGCUCCUGCUGCAUGGUGGGGGUUGGAAAGUUUCGGCGGUUGGGGAUGGACUCGCGGCUUAUCAGCUUGUUGGUGGGGUAGUGGCUUACCAAGGCUUUGACGGGUAGCCGGCCUGGGAGGGUGACCGGCCACAGUGGGACUGAGAUGCGGCCCAGACUCCUACGGGAGGCAGCAGUGGGGAAUAUUGCACAAUGGGCGGAAGCCUGAUGCAGCAACGCCGCGUGCUGGAUGACGGCCUUCGGGUUGUAACCCGCUUUCGCCUGUGACGAAGCGUGAGUGACGGUAAUGGGUAAAGAAGCACCGGCUAACUACGUG
rnacentral:rRNA from 1 species